rnacentral:rRNA from 1 species
UACGGAGGAUGCAAGCGUUAUCCGGAAUGAUUGGGCGUAAAGCGUCCGCAGGUGGCUAUGUAAGUCUGCUGUUAAAGAGUGAGGCUCAACCUCAUAAGAGCAGUGGAAACUACAUGGCUAGAGUGCGUUCGGGGCAGAGGGAAUUCCUGGUGUAGCGGUGAAAUGCGUAGAGAUCAGGAAGAACACCGGUGGCGAAAGCGCUCUGCUGGGCCGCAACUGACACUAAUGGACGAAAGCUAGGGGAGCGAACAGG